AGAAUCAACGCUGGCGGCGUGCCUAACACAUGCAAGUCGAACGAGAAAGUGGAGCAAUCCAUGAGUAAAGUGGCGCACGGGUGAGUAACACGUGACUAACCUACCCUUGAGUGGGGAAUAACCUCGGGAAACCGGGGCUAAUACCGCAUAACACCUACGGGUCAAAGGAGCAAUUCGCUUAAGGAGGGGGUCGCGGCAGAUUAGUUAGUUGGCGGGGUAAUGGCCCACCAAGACGGUGAUCUGUAUCCGGCCUGAGAGGGCGCACGGACACACUGGAACUGAAACACGGUCCAGACUCCUACGGGAGGCAGCAGUGGGGAAUUUUGCGCAAUGGGGGAAACCUGACGCAGCAACGCCGCGUGGAGGAUGAAGUCCCUUGGGACGUAAACUCCUUUCGAUCGGGACAUUAUGACGGUACCGGAAGAAGAAGCCCCGGCUAACUUCGCGCCAGCAGCCGC
rnacentral:rRNA from 1 species